rnacentral:rRNA from 1 species
GUAGGGCGCAAGCGUUGUCCGGAAUUAUUGGGCGUAAAGAGCUCGUAGGCGGCUUGUCGCGUCGGAUGUGAAAGCCCGGGGCUUAACCCCGGGUCUGCAUUCGAUACGGGCAGGCUAGAGUUCGGUAGGGGAGAUCGGAAUUCCUGGUGUAGCGGUGAAAUGCGCAGAUAUCAGGAGGAACAUCGGAGGCGAAGGCGGAUCUCUGGGCCGAUACUGACGCUGAGGAGCGAAAGCGUGGGGAGCGAACAGGAUUAGAUACCCUGGUAGUCCACGCCGUAAACGGUGGGCACUAGGUGUGGGCAACAUUCCACGUUGUCCGUGCCGCAGCUAACGCAUUAAGUGCCCGCCUGGGGAGUACGGCCGCAAGGCUA